rnacentral:rRNA from 1 species
GAUAAACGCUGGCGGCGCACAUAAGACAUGCAAGUCGAACGGACUUAACCUAUAGUUUACUAUUGGAGCGGUUAGUGGCGGACUGGUGAGUAACGCGUAAGCAAUCUGCCUAUCAGAGGGGAAUAACAGUGAGAAAUCACUGCUAAUACCGCAUAAGCUGUGAGUAUCGCAUGAUACAAGCAGAAAAGGAGCAAUCCGCUGAUAGAUGGGCUUGCGUCUGAUUAGUUAGUUGGUAGGGUAACGGCCUACCAAGACGAUGAUCAGUAGCUGAGCUGAGAGGCUGAUCGGCCACAUUGGGACUGAGACACGGCCCAG